CUGGACACUAAUCUCAUCGCUGGAUCACUGGCUCUAGUGAAGCAGCAGGAGAUGCUAGGAACUGAGAUUUAGUACCUUAUGUGUCAUUAACCAACAUUGAAAACGUACCUAAAUGGCUUCUCAAUUCAACUAAUUCAAGUUCUACUGCUGAAGGAAUGGAGGAAAUGUAAAAAGAAUGGAGAAAGUUCAGCAGAGAAGAUGAAGUAAGCCCUGCAGCCUUCAUUCAAGUCAAACCUGUGCUUGGUCUAUCCUUGCACAAUAACCAAGAGCAGAUUCCAAGCAUAAAUGCUGGGGAAACUCAGCAGCACCAGACUGCAGCUCAGCUGACACAUUUCACCUUACUGAUUAUUUUCAAAGGCUGUUGAUCUUGUUCAUAUUGUUAAAGAUUGUGCCGUCUCUUUCACUGAUGGCUUAUUAGUUAUCAAAAAUAGAUCUCUGAAUGGUAAGUCAAAAAAAAGAGUAUCUCAAAAUUUCAGGAGGUGGAUUCUAUUCAGGCAGAUUAUGUAUUUAAU